rnacentral:rRNA from 1 species
AUUGAACGCUGGCGGCAGGCUUAACACAUGCAAGUCGAGCGGAGUGAUGGUGCUUGCACUAUCACUUAGCGGCGGACGGGUGAGUAAUGCUUAGGAAUCUGCCUAUUAGUGGGGGACAACAUCUCGAAAGGGAUGCUAAUACCGCAUACGUCCUACGGGAGAAAGCAGGGGAUCACUUGUGACCUUGCGCUAAUAGAUGAGCCUCAGUCGGAUUAGCUAGUUGGUGGGGUAAAGGCCUACCAAGGCGACGAUCUGUAGCGGGUCUGAGAGGAUGAUCCGCCACACUGGGACUGAGACACGGCCCAGACUCCUACGGGAGGCAGCAGUGGGGAAUAUUGGACAAUGGGGGGAACCCUGAUCCAGCCAUGCCGCGUGUGUGAAGAAGGCCUUAUGGUUGUAAAGCACUUUAAGUGAGGAGGAGGCUUACCUAGUUAAUACCUGGGAUAAGUGGACGUUACUCGCAGAAUAAGCACCGGCUAACUCUGUGCCAGCCGCCGCAGUAACAC